rnacentral:tRNA from 1 species
GCCUGGAUGGCUCAGUCGGUUGAGCGUCUGACUCUUGGUUUCAGCAUGAUCUCAGGGUUGUGGGAUCGAGUCCCAUGUUGGGCU